GUGCCGGGGAGGAAAUGAAAAGGGAAUCGGGUGCAAAUCCCGGACAGUCCCGCUGCUGUGAAGCUCCGCAAAGGUUCCGAACAUCUCAGCCACUGAUCCGCAAGGGUCGGGAAGGCUUCGGAACAGGAGUCAGUCAGAAGACCUGCCAAGUCGA
rnacentral:ncRNA from 1 species